GACGAACGCUGGCGGCGUGCUUAACACAUGCAAGUCGAGCGGUAAGGCCCUUCGGGUACACGAGCGGCGAACGGGUGAGUAACACGUGGGUGACCUGCCUCUAGCGUCUGGGAUAAGCCUGGGAAACUGGGUCUAAUACCGGAUAUGACUCCACGGCGCAUGGUUGUGGGGUGGAAAGCCUUGUGUGGCUAGAGAUGGGCCCGCGGCCUAUCAGCUUGUUGGUGGGGAUGGCCUACCAAGGCGACGACGGGUAGCCGGCCUGAGAGGGCGACCGGCCACACUGGGACUGAGACACGGCCCAGACUCCUACGGGAGGCAGCAGUGGGGAAUCUUGCGCAAUGGGCGAAAGCCUGACGCAGCGACGCCGCGUGA
rnacentral:rRNA from 1 species